UCCAAUUCACAUGAUACUCAGCAAUAAGCCAAUUACUAUCAACUGUGUACAAGCCUUAUACAAAUACAACAGACUUUUACAUGAUGAUUUCACAAUGAUUAUUGUACUACACUAUUAAUUCAAUAACCAGGCAGAGACUCACAUGGAUUCAAUUGCUCCUUUUGAUUAUUAUACCUCCGCUGCUCGUCUUCUUCUUUUGUUCUGCUACCGCCUCCUUUCUUUUUCCCCAGUUACGUAUUAGGUAUAAUGCUCAAGUAAUUUAGGUCUAGCUAUUUAUUUAUUAAUUAAUAAAUCUUAUUAAUUCUCCUAAUUAUAAUUAGAUUUAUUAUUACCCACAUUUAAUUAAAUUAAACCCAAAUAACUUUUAAGGCCCAACUUGUACUAAAUUAAUUUACCCAUCUCUUAUGAAUAUUUAUUAG
rnacentral:lncRNA from 1 species